rnacentral:misc_RNA from 1 species
UUUUACUACAGCGCCGAUUUGAGGUUUCAGCUUGCGGGCGCUCAACAAAUGCAGCUAAAGAGGUUGGCCCGCCCAGCC